GAGUGUGUAGCUCACUGGUAGAGCACAUGUUUAAUAUGUGUGAAACUGGGUUUGAGUCCCAGCACCA
rnacentral:tRNA from 1 species